rnacentral:rRNA from 1 species
GAUGAACGCUGGCGGCGUGCCUAAUACAUGCAAGUCGAGCGAAACGACCAGGUGUUUUCUCUUCUGGCGUCGGCGGCGGACGGGUGAGUCCCAUGUGGUCAACAUACCUAUACGACUGGGGUACUUUCGGCAAACCGGAGCUAAUGCCCGAUGAUUUAUUGCAUCGCAUGGUUCACUCGUUAAAGACGGUUGUUCUGUCAGUAAUAGAUUGACCAGCGCCCGAUUAGCUAGUUGGUAAGGUAACGGCUUAACAAGGCUAGGAUGCGUAGCCGACCUGAACGGGAGGUCGGCCACCCGGGAGCUGAGACACAGCCCAGACUCUGACAGGAGGCAGCGGCAGGGAAUCUUCCGCGAUGCGCGAAAGCGUGACAGUGCAACGCCGGGUAAGGGAUGAAGCUGCUCGGAUGGGAGAGCGCUGUUAUCAGGGGAGAACAAAUGUGUAAGUAACUGGGCACGUCUUGACGGUACCUAGUCAGAAAGCCACGGCUAACUACGUG